rnacentral:rRNA from 1 species
ACGGGAGGCAGCAGUGGGGAAUAUUGGACAAUGGGGGCAACCCUGAUCCAGCGACGCCGCGUGAGUGAAGAAGUAUUUCGGUAUGUAAAGCUCUAUCAGUAGGGAAGAAAAAUGACAGUACCUAACUAAGAAGCCCCGGCUAACUACGUGCCAGCAGCCGCGGUAAUACGUAUGGAGCAAGCGUUAUCCGGAUUUACUGGGUGUAAAGGGAGCGUAGACGGAACAGCAAGUCUGAUGUGAAAGGCAGGGGCUCAACUCCUGGACUGCAUUGGAAACUGCUGAUCUUGAGUGCCGGAGAGGUAAGCGGAAUUCCUAGUGUAGCGGUGAAAUGCGUAGAUAUUAGGAGGAACACCAGUGGCGAAGGCGGCUUACUGGACGGUAACUGACGUUGAGGCUCGAAAGCGUGGGGAGCAAACAGGAUUAGAUACCCUGGUA